CCUACGGGAGGCAGCAGUGGGGGAUAUUGCACAAUGGGGGGAACCCUGAUGCAGCGACGCCGCGUGGGUGAAGAAGCGCCUCGGCGCGUAAAGCUCUGUCAGCAGGGAAGAAAAUGACGGUACCUGAAGAAGAAGCCCCGGCUAACUACGUGCCAGCAGCCGCGGUAAUACGUAGGGGGCAAGCGUUAUCCGGAUUUACUGGGUGGAAAGGGGGCGCAGACGGGGAUGCAAGCCAGGAGUGAAAGCCCUGGGCCCAACCCCGGGUGUGAACUGGAAACUGCGUGGCUGGAGUGCAGGAGGGGCAGGUGGAAUUCCUGGUGUAGCGGUGAAAUGCGUAGAGAUAAGGAGGAACACCAGUGGCGAAGGCGGCCUGCUGGUCUGCAACUGACGUUGAGGCCCGAAAGCGUGGGGAGCAAACAGGAUUAGAUACCCUAGUAGUC
rnacentral:rRNA from 1 species